UACAGAGGUCCCAAGCGUUGUUCGGAUUCACUGGGCGUAAAGGGUGCGUAGGUGGCCAGGUAAGUUCGGUGUGAAAGCUCGGAGCUUAACUCCGAAAUGGCAUUGAAUACUAUCUGGCUAGAGGGUCGGAGGGGAGACUGGAAUUCUCGGUGUAGCAGUGAAAUGCGUAGAUAUCAGGAGGAACACCGAUGGCGAAGGCAGGUCUCUGGGCUGGCACUGACGCUCAUGCACGAAAGCGUGGGGAGCAAACAGG
rnacentral:rRNA from 1 species